rnacentral:rRNA from 1 species
GACGAACGCUGGCGGCGUGCUUAACACAUGCAAGUCGAACGGGACGUCCCUGCUUUUUUGCGCUCCGCGGCGUACCAACGGGGAAGUUACACGUAAGUAACCUGUCCUUCACUUUGGGAGGACUUCAUGACACUUGGUGUAUUACGACAUAGGAUCUCUUGCUGCAGGGUGGGGGUUGGAAAGUUUCGGCGGUUGGUGAUGGACUCGCGUCUCAUGGGGUUGUUGGUGGGGUAGUGGCUUAGCAAGGCUUUGACGGGUAGCCGGGCUGAGAGGAUGAGCGGCCCCACUGGGACUGAGAUAAGGCACAGCCUAGUCCGGGAGGCAGGAGUGGGGAAGAGUGCACAAUGGGCGGAGGGAUGAUGUAGCCACGCCGCGCGGGGGAUGACGGCAUUGGGGUAGUAAACCGAUUUCGCCUGUGACGAAGCGUGAGUGACGGUAAUGGGUAAAGAAGCACCGGCUAACUACGUG